rnacentral:rRNA from 1 species
UACGUAGGGACCAAGCGUUGUUCGGAUUUACUGGGCGUAAAGGGCGCGUAGGCGGCUUGCCAAGUCACUUGUGAAAUCUCUGGGCUUAACCCAGAACGGCCAAGUGAAACUAGCAUGCUAGAGUGCAGAAGGGGCAAUCGGAAUUCUUGGUGUAGCGGUGAAAUGCGUAGAUAUCAAGAGGAACACCUGAGGUGAAGACGGGUUGCUGGGCUGACACUGACGCUGAGGCGCGAAAGCCAGGGGAGCAAACGGG